AUGUCCGUCAGGGAGGGGAGAGGGCAGCCGAUGAUCCUUUGCGCUGCUUUGACUGUCCUCUGUAGCCUCCCUCUAUCUGCAGCAGUGCAGCUCCCAUACCAGGUGGUGAGGUAGUACGUCAGCAGGCUCUCAAUGGAGGAAUGCCUUCUUGAUGACAGCUGAGGUGUUGCGUGUCCAGGAGAGGUCAUCAGAGAUCUGGACUCCCAGGAAUCUGAUGUCGUGGACCCUCUCCACAAUCUCGCUGUUGAUGCAUAGGGGAGGGGGGAUCUCUUUUUUUCCUUCUGAAGUCCACGAGGAUCUCCUUUGUUUUCUUAUUGUUCAGAGCCAGGUUAUUUGCAGAGCACCAGUUCGUGAGCUUCUGGACCUCCUCCCUAUAGGCUAUCUCGUCACCAUUCGAGAUCAGCCCGACCACUGUGGUGUCAUCAGCAAAUUUUACAAUCAUGUUGUUGCCGUGGACCGGACUGCAGUCAUGGGUAUAAAGACAGUAGAGGAGAGGGCUCAGCACGCAGCCUUGUGGUGAACCAGUGCUCAGUGUGCGUGUAGAGGAAAGGUGGGGGCCAA